UACGGAGGGUGCAAACGUUAUCCGGAAUCACUGGGCGUAAAGCGCAUGUAGGUGGCCAGGCAAGUAAACGAUUAAAGACCAAUGCCUAACAUUGGACCGGUUGUUUAUACUACUUGGCUUGAGAGUGGCAGGGGUAAGCGGAACUUUAGGUGUAGGAGUGAAAUCCGUAGAUAUCUAAAGGAACACCAAUGGCGAAGGCAGCUUACUGGGCCAUUUCUGACACUGAGAUGCGAAAGCGUGGGGAGCGAACGGG
rnacentral:rRNA from 1 species